UCCUGAUCUAAGGACCAGCACUCCAGAAACUGGUGUUGGUAGAGCAACUGGUGAUUUGGGACGUCUUUUCCAGCGAUUGACUGGACAUUCAUCUCCAUUAUUUGAUGAAGAAGAAAACUCAUCAAGGGAGAUCACUAUCAAUCUCAUGCCGAUAGUGGAAAAUCCCAUUCAAGAUGAACCACCAGGAGGGCAUGAUGGAAGUGAGACUCCAGAUAUUCUUGAAGAUUUGGG